rnacentral:misc_RNA from 1 species
UGAAACUUCAUUCAUGUCAAUCCAAAGGCCAUCAACUGGAACAAGUUUGUGGAAGCGGGCGAUUUCAUCAAUCCACCAUGAAACACCAUUGGGACUCAGAUAGUCAGGGAAGUACACAGGCCCUGGCCAUACUUGAGCUAGGUAAGGUUUGCCAUCAUAUUUGAUGAAGACAUCUUUGGCCAUGCCCCUCUGAUACACUCCAUAUGUGGAGUUGACGGCUAUUCCUGGAUCAAUGAGGACAAUAUACUUCAUGCCUCGAGAGUGAAUUUUAUCAAGAAAGGCAAGGAGCUUGGGACGAGGGUAGUUAACAGGAUCAAGAGUAAAAUCCUUAGCAGCAUCCAUGUGAUCAUCA